AUUGAACGCUGGCGGCAGGCCUAACACAUGCAAGUCGAACGAGUGGCGGACGGGUGAGUAAUGUCUGGGACACUGCCUGAUGGAGGGGGAUAACUACUGGAAACGGUAGCUAAUCCCGCAUACCAUCGGAUGUUCCCAGAUGGGAUUAGCUAGUGGGUGGGGUAAAGGCUCACCUAGGCGACGAUCCCUAGCUGGUCUGAGAGGAUGACCAGCCACACUGGAACUGAGACACGGGCCAGACUCCUACGGGAGGCAGCAGUGGGGAAUAUUGCACAAUGGGCGAAAGCCUGAUGCAGCAAUGCCGCGUGUAUGAAGAAGGCCGUCGGGUUGUAAAGUACUUUCAGCGGGGAGGCGGUACCCGCAGAAGAAGCACCGGCUAACUACGUGCCAGCAGCCGCGGUAAUUC
rnacentral:rRNA from 1 species